UACGGAGGGUGCGAGCGUUGUCCGGAAUCAUUGGGCGUAAAGGGCUCGUAGGCGGCCAACUAAGUCGGAUGUGAAAUCCCCAGGCUUAACCUGGGAACUGCAUCCGAUACUGGAUGGCUUGAAUCCGGGAGAGGGAUGCAGAAUUCCAGGUGUAGCGGUGAAAUGCGUAGAUAUCUGGAGGAAUACCGGUGGCGAAGGCGGCAUCCUGGACCGGCAUUGACGCUGAUGAGCGAAAGCUAGGGGAGCAAACGGG
rnacentral:rRNA from 1 species